ensembl:lncRNA
UCCACCUUAAGGGGCUACCGACCCCCUAACCCGCUGCCCCCCUAAAGUUCCUGUGUCCCGGAGCAGGAAGAAGGGUGGCUGGACUCCCGCGAGACUGUUUGCUGGGAAAUGAGAAAGCCGCGAAAGCAUUGCACUUCGUUAAAAACCAUUCCUUCGGACUCUGGGGAAGUAGACGGACGGACGCUCUCUCCGGACAGAGGACGCUUUCUGUCCGUGUGUUCGCGGAGCCUUAGGGCCCAGGGAGGCCGGAGAACCAGAGCCCCUACCCUGACUGGCCUCCGGCCACCGGCCGAGCCCAGGGGCUGCACCUGGCCCCCUGCCCACACAGUCCUGGCGGAGCCCCUGUCCCUGCAGCGAGGGGCGGGCGGCCGGUCACUGCCCAGGCUCCUGCAGGAGCUGUCCACACCCGCGGGCCCUCAGGAGGAGGACAGGCUCUGCGGGCUUCCCGUGGGCACCGGGCCGGGACAUACGGAGCGUGCUCAUCUCGGCCCCGCCUGAGUGCGGGUGGGAGUGGGGUUUCAUUGCCUCCACCCAGCCGGGUGCAGAAGCUCAGGGGCAGCAGUGAGGCCUGGGCCUGCAGGGAGAAGCCUGAGGUGAGGCGGGACAGCUCCAGGAAGGGAGGCCGCCAGCCCUUCCCAGUGAGCAGCUGCUUCCCGCAUGCACAGAGGCGCAGUGGGGACAGCCCUGCAGCCUGUCCUAAGAGCGAGACUCUUGCCUGUGCAGCACAGUGACUGCAAGCGUCCUGUCUGUAGGCUGCUCAGCACCGUCUGUUCUCUUCGUUCCAGCAGCCCAGGAUGUGGAGAGGUGCCUUCCCUGCUAUCUAUAGGGAAACUGAGGCACAGAACCUACUGCUCCUAACUCCCAGUGCAAACCUGUCACUGCUUGGCCCUGAGAACUUUUCCCUUCCAAAGGAAAGAAAAGGAGAUAUGGGAAUUUCCUGAGGGCAACAUAAAUACCCAAGAAAGGAAAGCCUGAAAUACAAGAUAAAAAUCAAGGUGGACUCUGGGCAUGGUGGCACAGGCCUGUAAUCCCAGAGGAAGGCUGAGGCAGGAGGGUCCCAAGUUCAAGGCCAGCCUGGACAACUUUGCCACUCAGGGACACCCUGUCUCAAAUUUUUCCUAAAAAGGACUGGGAAUGUAGCUCCAUGCGAAGGCCCUGGGUUCAUUCUGCCCACACCCUUCACCCCACUCAGACAGAGAGCAAAAGAGAAACUGACUUAUUUCUUUGCCAGAAAAGCAGAAACCAUGACACUGGAAGUACUAGUGUCAACCUGGAAAAAAGUCUGAAGGCUGAUUUUGAGCAAUCGGGAAACACGGAGAUACUUGGCGGCCAUGCUGAGGAGCAGAGGAAGGGCAGGAGGCCGGGGCUGGGGAGGGGCCAGCCUGCGUCACAGGAGGCUGUGUUGCUACUCGGGAUGCUGUGCAGCAGCCCAGGGUGUGGGCAGGAUGGGAGGACCAUCGCAGGCUGCUUGUUCUUCACUCCUCUGAAAGGCUCUAAGUGAUUCCACCCUCCUGAGUUCCAGAGACUGCAUCCUCUGGACGGCCGGGCUCUGGGCUGGGGAAUGAGGCUAUGAGGUUCUGGACUCCCAUGCUCACACAGCCCUGUAAAUGCCUCGGAGCGGCUCUCCCUGCAGCUUUCCAGGCCCUCCCCCAGCCUCUCCGAGCCGAGCCCACUCUCGGGUUUCUUUCUGUUUCUGUCUGCGAUCGCCCCCUCCGCUGUGAGCUCUUGCAUGAUCUCCCUCUUUAGGCAUGGAUUCCCCAGCGCUUUGUCUGACAGGGCAGGAGAAUGGAUGAGGGAAAGGGCCGAUGAUUGCAGGCCGCCAACGCUGGUUUCGUUGGUGCUGUUGCCUGGGGUCUGCAGAGGAGAGGCUGGGGGUGAAGAAAACUUAUCCUGAAGAAGCCAGAGGAAAAACCCAGGGCAUGGGGGGAUGAAAUGUGUAAGCCCCGUGGCCUUUGCUGUGGCAGAGCAGGAAUCUGACCCCUGAUGGAUCCACGGUCUCAUCCCACUGAGGAUAGAGCUUGAAGGAGCUCUUGCGCUCAGGAGAGCAAACAGCUCUUAGAAUGCAGAGACAGGGACUGCAGGGCACCUAGAGCCCUGUAACGAAGCUUGGCCUCCAGUUCAUGCUACGCUCUUCCAGAAGAGAGCUGAAAUGAAGCCGCAAUGCCCGGUGUAGCUGUCCCACCCGCUCCCCGCCAGACAGUGUGCUCACGCUCAGCUCAGUCCUCUCCCAGUGGUCAGUCCCAUACCGCACAGCCUGUCCAGACAUCAGCGACACCCCCUGCUCUCCAGCACGAUGGACCAGGAUACAGCAAAGCAGGGUUUACUUCCCAAACCCCACCGGCACUGAGAUGCAGGUCAGUGGGCCCAGGCUGCUUCGUCUUCACUUCCUUGGUCAGCUCUCUUCUUGGCUGCCAUGUGUGGGACGGUGUGAGACAAGGCAGUUACUCCGAGCUCAGUCUCCGCUUCUGUAGAAUGCAGGUAGUAGGAGGGUUCCAGCUCUCCGGGUGCCGGGAAGAUGAGGGAGCUAGUGGACAUGAAGCCCUGAGCGGGGCUGGUGUGGCUCCAGGCCUCUGCUCGGUCUCUGCAUGUGUGUUGCUUCUUGUGCUCCAAUGUGGUCUUGCUUUUCACCUUGUCUAACUGAAUUUUAUGACCUCCCCUUUCUAACCCUAUUCCUUGUCAUAUCAUCCUCUUAAAUGUGUAAGACCAUUUUUGAGCCUCUUUUUAAAAAUCACACAUUGAAGAAGCACAGUUUACAAUGGGAAGUUGGCCAUGUCUACUAGGAGCUGCAUCUCAGAGAGACUUUAAUGUUCUUCGCUUCGGCCUCGGUGCCCCUGCACCUGGAACAGUGAGUGCCUGGCACACAGUAGGCACUGAAUAAAUAUUUGGUGAGUGAAUGAAAUGAUUUGGGAACACUCUGCAGAAGCCAGAGAAACAUCUAGUGGACAGAGACUCAUAAGCCGGUCCCACUGGUAGUGAGAAUCUCAUGUCCUGGGAGCCAUGGGAGAAACGCGAUGUCAUUUAGCUUCAUCUCCGUGACUGUGACCCCGCUCAUUUCCAGGCAGUUUAGCCAGAUGACUUUAUAUUCAAGAACUUCUUCUAUGGCUGGAUGUGCUGCAUAUUAUCGUUCCAUGCUGUUUCCUGGGAGAUAAUGUGUUUGCUCGGAUGCAAUGAAAAUGAGCUAAAACAUUUGUAUUAAUCUUAUAAGAAACAUGCAGUUUGGGAUGACUUGUGAAUAUGUAAAGGAAAACUUAUUUUAUCUAUUUUUUCCAAAUCCAAUUUUAUUCCUUUACAGGCUCUAAUCAGAUUAAGAAUUCGGCAAUUAAAUUAAGACAUAAAUUCCAGUGGUACGUAAAGCAUUUAAAAAUCUGAUUGCUCUCAUUAGUUUCUUAGUUCCUACCUUAGCUGACAGGGACCGUCUUGAUGGUAGCCUUAAACAGAAUUCAUUACGCGGUGAAAGGUUGACACUUGCUGUUGAGUCCAUGACUUAGCUGUUCCCUCUUGAUCUUCCUUCUAUUGUUGGUGUAAAUCUUUAAAGGAACAACCUCGGCAAUUAAUAGAAUACUACCAAUGACAACCACGAAAGACUGAAAACUUAGCAAAGAUUGUCAUUGCCAUGCUGGGCUCCGUGGUCCGAAGUCCCCUCUACCUGUGGCAUACACGGCUGGGUGGUUUUUAGCUGCAGAGGGCUGAGCCACAUCCUUUGAAGAUGCUUCAUCUGCAUCCGGGCUCCUUCCACACCCACCGAACCACCUGUGCCACCAUGUCCCUAGUUUGCUUGGCCCCAGAUUGGAGUCUUGUACUUAACUCGGUUUACCCUAAACAGUGGCAUCUGGAAAACUAAGCACUGGUGUUGUCCUAAUAGGUGUUAAAAUAAAUGCAGGUGUUCAACCCACAUUGUCCGGCCCAACGCAGCACCAUCUCGUGUCCCGUGGAAAGCGGCCCCCACUUUGGGAAACACCUCUUGGUACUGUGGAAAACAGAGCUGCGCUCUCAGCACACCAGCAGCCCUCCCGAAAGAAUGGUGUUGCUGAUCAUUUACAUCACGCCCCAGAGGAGGAUGGCUUCCUUCCCACCUGAGGUCGGAUAUGCAGGCAACACUUUGCAGCAAGGUUCGGCUCGUUGAUUGACCGGAGAAGUCCAUUGCUCCUCUCUUACUUCUGGCAAUGGGAAGAGCGUGAAUUUGUUUAGUGGCUGAAGAGCAAACCCUUUCUAGUCUUGCAUUUGGAAGAUGGACGGGGAGUAGUAAACCCAUUUCUUCUCAAGAGCUGCAUUCCCUGUGGAGAACUUACAUUCCUUCCUCAAGCCCUGCAAAACACCAUAAAGCCACAUUAGCUCAAAAGAGGGGAAGGAGGGUUAAUAUUUACAGGAGCAGUUAGGCAUCAAUUACCCUCAGUUUAAUGACAGCAAGCAUGUGUUGAGUACUCGUGUUAUAUACAGGACCACGCUAAUCACUGUACUCGCAUUAUCUCAUCUGUUACAACCAUCAAAACAACCCAACAUGCAGGAAUUUUAUUACCAUCAUUUUACAGAGGAAAGGCCAGAUCAGAGAAGUUUCAGGCAGUUCUCAGCCCAGGGUCUUUGGACUCCAAACCUGAAGCUUUUGGUCAUUGUGUGUUUGCAGACUCUCAGCCUUUGCAAAUCAUCUGUUCCUUCAGACCCUGAACCUGACGCCUCUUCUUGAUUUUACAAUACAUUCCCUCAGUUAUUAACCUAAUACAAAUACAGGACUUGAUAGCCAAUUAGGCAAGAGGAAAGCCCCAAGAGUUGAAAAUGAAAGCUACCCCCAAAAGUGAAGAAUUAUAGUACAUUACCUACCGCUUACUACAGGUAGAGCAACUUACAUACGCUUUUUCACACCUAACCUAAGACAAGCAUUUCUUACCCAUUUCACAGAUGAAGGAACUGAAGCUUUAGAAAUAAGAGAUUCUUUAGAAAUAAGAGAUUCUGAGCUUCUACAGAACAAGUAGCAUUCUCACCAGGCCAUCUGACUCAAAGGCCCCAUUGUCUCAAAAGAUUGCCAAGGAAAAUCCUCUCAAAUACAUAAAAACUCAACUUCCAGGUGUCACAUGGGCAUUGAAAACCAGCUGUGUCUUCAUCUGACCCGGUGACCUCUGUCCGCCAUGUCCCAGGUCAGCCACACCGGCCUCAGCUCAUCUCAGGCGGCCCCGGGCGGGAGGGGGGAUCUGACUCACGCUCUGGACAGGACCUCUGCAGAGACGCUUCACCCCGACCUAGAGCCCCAUAAAGCCGCACGGGCGUGGCCCUCGAGACUCCAGCUCCGUUGGUCUGGGGUUUGGCCCAAACACUGGUGUUUGUACAAGCAUGUCAGGUUCUGGUGCAUGGCUGUCAUUGACAG